AUAUCAAUAAGGCGAGGAACAGAAACCAACCGGGAUUCCCCCAGUAGUGGCGAAUGAAGUGGGAAAAGCUCAAGUUUGAAAUCUGGCUUCAGUCAGAGUUGUAAGCUGAAGAGGCUUCGACCGAUGUGGCUUGGGCUCAAUUCCCUUGGGAUAGGGAGUCAUGGAGGGUGAGAACCCCGUUCAUGGCCUGUGUGCCUCCAUCCUUGUGUCGUUUCCUCGAAGAGUCGGGUUGUUUGGGAUUGCAGCCCUAAAUGGGAGAUAAACUUCUUCUAAGGCUAAAUAUUUAUGGGAGACCGAUAGCGCACAAGUA
rnacentral:rRNA from 1 species